GUGCUUGCUUCGGCAGCGCAGAUACUAAAAUUGGAAUGAUACAGAGAAGAUUAGCAUGGCCUUUUGUGCAAGGCUGAAAUGCAAGUUCAUGAAGUAUUCCGUAUUUUU
rnacentral:snRNA from 1 species